GCUUGAUUUGACUCAACACAGGAAACCUCGUCUGGCUCAGAUGUGGACACGGUUGACAGACUAAUGACUCUGUCUUGAUUCUGUGGCGUGGUGACGCCUGGCCCUUCUCAGUGGGUGUAUCGAAUUGCCUGGUUAAUGCCAGUCACAAGGGAGGGCUGGGGGUGGGGGAGAUAGCAUCAUGGUUAUGCUCAAAGACUGCUAUGCCUGAGAAGCCAGAGUCCC
rnacentral:ncRNA from 1 species